AGUGAACGCUGGCGGUAGGCCUAACACAUGCAAGUCGAACGGCAGCACAGUAAGAGCUUGCUCUUACGGGUGCCGAGUGGCGGACGGGUGAGGAAUACAUCGGAAUCUACUUUUUCGUGGGGGAUAACGUAGGGAAACUUACGCUAAUACCGCAUACGACCUACGGGUGAAAGCAGGGGAUCUUCGGACCUUGCGCGAUUGAAUGAGCCGAUGUCGGAUUAGCUAGUUGGCGGGGUAAAGGCCCACCAAGGCGACGAUCCGUAGCUGGUCUGAGAGGAUGAUCAGCCACACUGAACUGAGACACGGUCCAGACUCCUACGGGAGGCAGCAGUGGGGAAUAUUGGACAAUGGGCGCAAGCCUGAUCCAGCCAUACCGCGUGGGUGAAGAAGGCCUUCGGGUUGUAAAGCCCUUUUGUUGGGAAAGAAAAGCAGCAGGUUAAUACCCCGCUGUUCUGACGGUACCCAAAGAAUAAGCACCGGCUAACUUCGUG
rnacentral:rRNA from 1 species